CUGCCAUCAACUCGCCCGCGGCCACGAAUCCCGCCGCUGAGGCGCUACCUAAGGACCCCAGCACAGUGCCUGGCACGGAACAGGCACUUAGACAUGCCGACGUAGCCUUGGGCUGUGUGUAGGUGGAGACACCAUUUGGGAAAAGUCUUAGAAGCCUGCUCGGUUCAGGGAGCCAGAGGCAGGAGUCCUGACUUCAGGCUCCUCCACUGAGGCUUGAGUGUCUGAACACAGAUUUAGAUGAGGAAGAGACCUCCAAAGGCCUCUAGUUCUACUUACUUCUUUCACGGAGCGGAGAAGCGAGGCCAGAUGGGCCGAGGAACACAUCUGAGGUGGCGUAAGUGAUUCUCCCGGUUGCUCCUGAUUCUUCCUCUGGGGCUGAGCAGAACAAAGCUAGUCCUUUCAUCUCACAGCGCUCCAGAUAGGCUCUAAAGAUGGCCGUGUUUUAGCUUCUCUGGGUUAAAUAUCUCCCAGUUUCUUCAGCUGAUCCACACAGGGCACAGACUUGAGUCCCUUCAGUAUUCUGAUUGUCUUCCUGCUGAUUAAAGUCCUUCAUAAAAUGUUUUGCCCGUGACAGAACACAGUAUUCCAGAAGGGGCCUGACCAAAGCAGAGUACGCUAGACUGUCAUUUCCUUAUUCCUGGAUGUCGAGUUUCUCUUACGAUCCCGUUCACUUUUCUCAUUGGGCGUCUUGUCAUGCUGUUGGUUCAUAUUAAGCUUGCACUCCACUAAGACCCCUGGAUCUUUUUCCCCUCCAGAUGUAUUAUUCUUUAGCUGCACCUCUCCCAUGCUGCACAGGUGAUGGUGAUUGUUCAAGCCCACGUGAAGAACUUUACGUUUAUCCCUGCUCAGUUUAUCUUAGGUUCAGCCCAAGUCUCCUCUGACCUUUUAUUUGUCAACCCACAGGUGAAAAUAAACCGCCUGGC